UUUAACUUGCCUCAUCCUGUAUCCUCAAUCUGCAUAAAAUUCAACAAUGUUUCUUCAAAAUCUUGCUUCAAACUUGGUCAAAUUAUUAUUAUACCUACCUAAGUAAGUAUACAUAAAUCAUAUGAUAUACGUAGAUAGGCAUAGAUGUGGCUAGUGUUUAGAAUCUGAAUAACGCGAUGCAGCAGGGAGUUCCAUCAAAUCGUCACCCACACAGGCGUACUACGAGAGGCGUGCAAAUGCGUGUAACUAGUACAGAGAUACACAGAAAUACCACUCCGAACAACACCUGGAAGAACAUGGUACCUAAUCCAACAUAAAAGUGACCCAUGACUUAAGUGGUGUAAAACCUUCUUUUCUUCUUGCUUUGUAACACCAAAUUUCUUGGCCGACCUUGUCCGAGGCUGACGAUAGCUGAGAUUGGAAGAAACGGCCAAAGGAUCAAAUUAAAGUAGGAAUUCUUUUAAAAACUUCUUCAACAGUAUAAGCACUUAAGAGCCACAGCUUAAGAGCAAACGCACCGGACUACAGCGAUUGUACUUCUGCGAUGUUACUUACCUGUGUUGUGCACCGAUGCGUGCCCCUGCCAAGAUCUAUUUGUGCAUGCGUGUGCGCACGACUCCCCCCCCCCCUCUGCCUCCGCUGCGGCUGCGUGCGAUCACCUCAUCGAUUAGCAGCUCUCAAUGUGUGAAACAUCUCAGGUGAAAUUAUGAUGCGCCUGUCAUAAAGAUGAUAAUUUUAUGAUAAAAUGAAACGUGUGCUUAAUUUUGCGUUAAAUUUUUGUUCUACGGAUGGUGUAGUUGUUUUUUUAUUGCGGUAAAAGUAUGCUUCGUUUACAUUGUAAGUGGUCCUGUAGUUGGGGAGCAAGUUUUAAAUACGAAGUUACCCACAAAGAAGCUAUUUUUUUUGGAUUGGUGUAAUUAUACGAGGUCAUGUGGUAGAGGUUACUAACUGUAAUACUGUUUUGGGAAACAUAAAUUACUAAAAUGGUGGUGGUGACUAGAGCGUUUAAUGUGAAAUUCGUGCCAUUGGUCGGCGAAACGCUAACAGCGAGUUUGGCUUACCUUUAUUUUUGUUGAAAUAUCUAACUUCGCCAAUCGCAUGGAAAAUGUUCGAAUCGUGGAAGGGGCAACAUUUCAGUAAGCCACGUAUUGCCCUUUUACAAGUAAAUUCUAGAGCUCUAUCAUCUUGUAAUUAAGGCCCGUGGCAAAAUCGACUUUUUGGACCUCCUGAACAUCCAUCUAGUUUAAAUCCAUCUAGUUUAAAAAGUUUAAAUUCUAUAUUUUCAUCAAAUGAAAGAGAAAAUCGCUAAUUCCUUCAAACCCGCUGUCAGUGUGACCGCCGCCCCUCCGCCAGUUUCUACCUAAUGGGGCAGUGUAAUGUAGAUGAAUUGUCUCAAUUGAGCAGAUAGCAGUAGAUUGGCUAAUUGUGGCGGUUAUUUUUAGUGUCCCCAAGUGUAAUACAAUUAGAUCACUUACACGUGCUUUCUAGUAGUCUGGUUACAGUAGCCGCAGGACAUGGCGACGUGUACGUAGAUUUGUCCUAAUGAUCGUUUUCCGGACUGGCACUACUCCAGGUCAUAACAACACUACCCAAAAUGAAACUGUGGAAUCGAGACAAUGAAAUGAAACCAUUUAAAUCUGUAAGUUGGAUAAUUGUGUCAUCACUUUUACAUGUCUUUUUUCAGGACGCUGGAGUCGAUAUUUUCCUAUCUGGCUACCCUGAGAACAAAUGUCGAACAGUCUAAACGAUUUAAAAUUAGAGAACAGAUUAAUUCUUGGGACUGGCCUUUUGAAAAAGUACCAGAUCAAUCUGACCAAGUCUGUGCCGGCAAGCAGCACGCAUGCAUAGACUAACUUAUGGGGCUCAAACAUUUUUGAGGGAGUCCUAUAGCCCUACACGCAACAUAACCACUAGUGACCUUAUCAAAAGGGAAGAAAGAACUACUCACAGACAACUACGACAAGGGCAACGCUAUAUACGAUUUAGAGCGUUGUCUCUCUCCCACAAUCUGUACGCAAUGGCAGAGAGGUUAUACGUAUAAAACAAAAUGUAUAUAAUUUAUUUUGUCGCAUAAACUUUGUACCAAUUCUAAUAAAGCAAAAUUGUAUCAGCUGGAUGGUGACUGUUUAUAUCUAUAAUUGAUAGUAAAACUGGUAAAAACUAGUUACGAUUAAUAACAAUAUCCGUAAUGGUCGCAAUCACUCCGUCGAUCAGUCAUUUUUAUCAUCAUCUUUUCUAAUGUGUAAGAUAUACAUACAUGUACGUGUUACUUAGUGAGAUAGAGUGUUCCUGCAACUAGUUGUCAUUUAACAUUGAUUGCUUUUAAUAUCAUUGAUUACAAUGUAAUUAAUGCGAAGUGGAGAUUAAUGAAAUGCAGGUUUUGAUGCUAGGCCCCUAGCUGUAAACGAAAAAAAUCUCUUUUCAAAUACUGUAGCUCUACAAAGAUGACUUUAAAUAAUGUUAACACUUAAUUUUAAAAUUCUGGGAAAAGGACAUUAAAAUAAACACACAACAUUUUGAAAUAAGUUAAAGUGACUUAAACCAAUUAUAGUCUUCAAUUUCACUCGCUACGUUAAAAAUAACGGGCAUUUCCAUAGAAAUUAGUCCAAAAGCCAGUCAAAAAGUGUUCACAUCAUCCCACUUAUAGUAUAAAGUUACUAACUCCACACAACACAUAAUCUAACUAAUUCAAUUUGAUGGCCACGCACACACAUACACACACACACAUACGGACCUAAAAAUAACACCGAUCAUGAAGGGCCAUUUACGGUACUUACAAACUUAGUGCUACACUCCAAAAACGCAAUAACAGGCCUUAUGAAGAAAGUGAUAGAGUUCAGAAUGAGAAUGUUUAGUUGUGUUUGUAAGUUGGUGUAUAUGAACGAUUUUAUUACGGACGGUUAAUUUAUUUGUUUGUGCGUUCUCUGUGACAAAGACGCUAUAGUUGACUAUAGUUAGCAUAAUAAAUGACUGUAAUGUAAUGCCUGAUAGAUUUAAGGUUUUGUAGCUUUGAUUGUAAAAUUGAAACGUCUUUUGAAAAGACUUGUUUAUUGUGGCGGGUUUAGGAUGUGAAGGUAAAAAGACAAACAUAUUUUUAAAGCACUCUUUGUGACUACGCCCGUGUAUAUUUGGAUUUUGAAACCACACAAAAUCUAAACUGUUUUGGAAUCAUAAUGACUAGCUAAGGUAGUUGUAUUUAGCGUUACGUUAUAAGCCGAAAAAAAAUUAAUUUUAUUAUAUUUGCUAUAUGACAAGAAACUUAUAAAGAAGUAAUGGGCACGUGGUAUAUAGCUAGUGGGGUUUCGUGUAAAUAUCUAGCGUUUGACAAAGUACUUUAUUUUAUUCUGUCAUUUGUGUAUAAACCUCUUUUAAUUAGCACUAACUACCGAACCACUGACGACACUUCAUCUCUGUCGUGACUCUAUGACUCGUUGCCUCUGUCAAUAAUUAAAAGACCUACAACAAAUAUAAUUAUUAAUUAAAACUGUUGUUUUCCCUCUUGUUAGACAGCGCAAUAUUCAUGAAUCACGAAUUCGCGUGUAUUUUAUGUAUCAACACGCCCUAGUAUGAGGAAUUUUAUGUUUAUUUAUGGGCAUAAACAAAAUUUUACUGUGAAAAUCCCUGGUCGACAGCGACGGUUAAAUAUUAGCCGGGACUCGUCAGGAAGUCAGCCAGUUACCUUCACUCAAUAACUAAUGGAAGUUUUACUAACUACACUAUUUAAUUAAACCUCUAUGGUAAGUAGUAAUGCUACCGUAUCACUCGUGUAUAUAUCGCGGUUAAAAUUCCGUGUAGUUAUUUUGCAUGUUUAAAAUUACAAGGGAAAAAACCCUUACUGAAGAAUUUUUUCAUUUGGUUUAGUGAGUCAAUGUGAAUCUUAUUAGACAAUGCGUUUUGUCACCCAUAUUUAAUUGUCACCGAGUUCGACUCGCGCUUGACCGGUUUUGAGUUCAGCUGUGUCUCUUAAAGAAACUACUAGACAAAGGCUACAGAUGUCUCGCAUAUUAUUAGACGCGAGACUAAAAAGUAGUUUGUGUGUUUGCGAUAAAAGUCGCGUGUAAUAAAAAAAGUCCGUUACACAUGUGAAUGGGUAUUAUCAACCCGCGGGUCAUAGUGAGGGGUGACUUGUUAUCUAGCAUUCCGAAUUGUUACAUACCGGCCAUCCUGACGUCAGCUCUCGUUAUAUUACUGUAAUCAGGAGUGUCCAGACAAUUUGGUUCCCACCUAAUCUAAUUGUGACACUUAUUGUGUGUCUUCAUUGCGUUAUUAUCAGAAUUCAAUAGGUACCUUAGAUAUGUUUCCUUAUUUGAACCUCAGGAACGACUGGUCUGAUUUGAAAAAAAACUUUCUGUGUUAGAUAGUCCAGUUAUUGAGAAAGGCGAGGGAGGAUAUUAUUAUCACGUUGUGAUUAACAGGAGCAGAGGAGUACUGAACUGUGUUGCAAAAACGGGGAGAUGUUACAUUCUAAAACUAUUAAUCUAAAUGUUGUAACGUGCAACAGCAAGUUGUCAAUGAAUCUAAUAUUUAAUUAUUGAUCUGUGGGGCUAUAUGUGGGAGGAGGGGGUGUUGGUAUUCAUGAAUGAAAAAAAUGAAUAAAAAAUAUUGUUAGUACUUGUUUAUGUCUGAUAUAAUUAGUAACUACCCACGAUAUUUAUAUUUGAAAUGAUUUGAUUGACUUGACAUUUUGUACAAAACCGUGACGUCACGAAUCAAAUAUAAGCCUAAUAUCAUUUAUUUUAUCACCAACUAUCAAAAUACAUUUAGACCUAUUCUGAUAUUAAUGCCUAUUCUAUUCUAAUGGGCUUUCUUUACUAAAAUAAUACUUUAACCACACUGAGGCAAGCAGUUUCUAUGAUCGGGCCGAUUACGUCACCGCAAACCACAAUCGAUAAACUGCCUCACGUAAAAACUAACCGUAACCAAUGCCUGGUACUUAUAGAUAACUAUCUCUUAAGGCUGCCUUUACACUACGACACUUAUUGUAGACUAUUGUGAGGUACUAGUUUGUUAGGCUUAAUUGGUGACUUUACUAACUGACUUUUUGUGUCUCGAAAGUUCCUUUUUUAUUAAGUCCAGAUAUUUCGUGUAAACGGUGCUCAUGGUAUAUUCAACCGGAAAAAAAAACUCUAUCACUGAGGCACCGGUGAGUGUGAGUCUGUCUGUCACCAGGCUGUAUCUCUUGAACCGUGAUAGAUAGACAGUUGAAAUUAUCACAAAUUUCAACUGUCGCUAUUGCCGCUUGAAGAUUAAAUACUAAAAAUAAAGAUCGAAGUUAAGCAACGUUUUUUACGGUCAAUAUAUGGUUAUUAGGUGACAAAGAAAUUUAUUUGUACCCUCAAAUUUCUUAUCACCAAAUCGUUUUGUAUAACCCUCGCUUUGGACAAGUUUUAUUUGAAGUAGAUAUUUAAACAUUGUUGUUGCAAGAAGUGCCAUAGUGUGUAUGUAGCUUUAGUGCCCGUUACUAUGAUAUAAGUUACCCCUUCGGCAGAUGGGCCCUGUGAUAAUAAAUAUAAUAAUAUAUCGGUGAUAAUAGGCUGAAGGCUCGUCUUAUCGACUCCGGUUAAAAGGGAAAGGGUAUUUUAAUGCUGACCUGGCAAUAUUAUUACUAUUAUAUUUUAGUUUCAUAUGUUAAAACUCCUAGCAGAUAUAAUCCGGUCGGUGCCCUUAUUUGUACUUAAAAUUUUGAAUGCCAUGUCUUCUUUUAAUCUAAUUAAGAAAAGAGUCGCUCCCACCUACAUAUUUGAGGGCUAAUUAAUUAUUCCAUUACAAUCACACUCAUAAAUAGAUACUGAUUAAAAAAUGCUAUAACAUACAAACAUACUUAUGAAUAGAGAUAAACGAAUAAAAGUAGCCUUUGAAAAACACUCGGCAGUCCACAGUGAAUCAUCAAAACCCUUUGAUUUCUAUUCAAUACAAUCAAUGAAAGAAAAUUGCUCCGGAAAAAUCCGGAAUAUAAUAUUAUUUUUAUGAAGGUAUCGACAUAAAUAGCCCGGCCUUAGCAACACUUGAAUCAAUAUUAGUUUAGUUGAGCAAAUAACCACACCACAAAACAUCUUUAAUUGUCCGCCAAACAAAAAUAUACCCUAACGCAACGAGCCACGGUCGAGAAUCACAAAAACCUCCAGUUUGUUAUGUUGAACAUAUUUUCAAUAUUAUUAUACGAUAAUUUUAUUCUGUGUCUGUAAAAAUAACGGUAUGCCUUGUUUCAGUUGAAAAGUUCAUAGCGUUUAGUUUCGCAAGUCAGUAAGAGAUGGCGUUGGGUUGCGCGUUCGCGAUUCCAGCGCGCCUAGCAACAGCGAAAUAAUCAAUGUUUUCCAAUUCUUUCUAAAUUGAUUUCAGUUUAGUGCUUGUAAUUCUCAUUUAAUAUAGUACCGAAUGAGUUUGAUUCGUAACUUACACAUUCAUUUUAUUCAAUAAUAAUAACUUAUGGAAAUGCUUGAGUAUCGGUUUAAUCUAAAUUGUUUUGCAUUUUAUUUCUGGUAUUGAUUCUACAAUUGAAAAUUAAUCAGCGGUACUUAUCGAGUUUAUUAAAAGUAAUUUCUUGGCUAGUGAUGGGCGGCGGUGGUCGAGUGUUGAUAAUUGUAAUGUCGAUAGUCAUUGGUCGAUGGUAAAUCGGCAUCGUCACGACCGGUGCCACAAUCAUCGGUGGGUUUGCGGUUAGAAAGUUAAAUCACCCUUGUUUUGGUAUCAAAUUAUAUAUUGCACAAAUUGCUGGAUUUCGUUGUGAUUUGACGUAAUUAUGAUUGGUUAUUGUGAAUAGUAGAGCAGCCAUGUUGAUUAACGACGUGUUUAUCGUUAAAUGUUUGUUAGCAACUUCUUAUAUUUAGUCGCGAAUAAACUCUUGGCUACAUCUAGACCUUUUACAAUGGAGAAUUAAACAUAGUUGUAAUAAAAGUUGAUACCGAAUUAUUUCCAAUUAUUAUCUACUUCCAAGUUUAUAACAUGCUACUAAAAGAAUAUAAAUAUAAGCAGCCCGACACCUCUCCAAUAAUAUAUGAUAAUAUACGAAGACAAAUAAAUCUUUUCACAAGUCAUAAAAUACACACGAAAUACAGGAGAUAAUUCUUUAGUCACACAUUCGGAAGUAGUUGGCCAUUUUUUGCGGAUUAAAAGCGAUAAUUUAUGUUGACCAAAACCGUCCAGUUAUGCUAGCCAUGCAUAACAUUAUAGCCUUUAACGACAAACUCGUAGGUGCUACAAUCGCUUGCACUCACUUUCCAAAUCUUGUUGCUACGUCCGCUGGUCCAAUUUCUUUAGAAUCGAUACAAAGACCUCUCCAUGUUAAUUUGUUUACUUCGAACGAUCGAACGGAACGAAUUUAUUUUUAUGUUUUCGCAUUCACAAAAAACUUACACGUUCGCAAAUCAAGAAAAAAAUGAAGCGAACAUAACAGCCAAAUAAAAAUUGAUGAUUGCUUUUAAUUUAGACGAGCAUUGUGAGUUAGACGCAGAUAUAUUGUAGACACAGCCAGCUUGUAUGCAGACGAGUGUUGUUUAUAAAACAGUGAUCUAAGAGUGGAUCGUAUAAAGAUGUGAGUCUACGAUAGAGAACGAUAAUAAAAUGCAAUGCCAAUUUACUGCAAACACAGAGUCAGCGACUCGGCACUCUGGGAUAACAUCCUAUAUUUUAUCCUUACGGGCUCUUGCAUUACUGGAACACAUCAGAGCUAUUUGGCAGCAUCCCCCGACACGAGCCGGCGAUGUAAUUUAUCUCACAUCGCAAUCUGCACAUAUUCCCAGUCAGCAUUUAGAUUCCAGCUCCACUCGUACGAUAAACUCGGCAUGUAGCAAUACCGACUUGUCUAUAAACGGAACAUUCGUAAAAACUGUACCAACUCGUUGUGUGCUCACUAAUUAUACAAAAAAUAAACGAGGAUGGGGUUGCACCAAUCUCUAGCGAGGACCGGUCCCCGAACCGGUUGAGACCGGUUCAGACCGGUCUUACUAAAAUAUUGCCUCGGCUUUCUGCUUGUUUUUACCUAGCAUACAUUUAUGAUAAUGUAUGAAAACGAUGUUCUUCGCUCUUUGUUUUUUAAAUGUCACUCGAUGGAAUAUUAUCUUCUUUAUUGUGGACAUAAGGUGUUCGUUUUGUGGGCGAGCCUGUCGGCUGCGAGCGAGUGUGUGCGUGAUGAUGCAGAGCAUCUUCAUACGUGUGUAGGGGUAGGGAUGCGUAUUGAAACAAUAUAUUUCCAUUUUGAAACUAUGUAUUUUUUUUUCUUCAAUAUUUCUACAUUUUCUUUUACGGUCUAUCAAAUAAAUAUCAAUUAUAAACAAUUGAUACAUUUAUUAUUAUUGUUAGUUUUUGUAUAUGUCGACAUUUCAAGUUUUAGAAGUAAAAUGUUUUUGUAGCUUUUUAAAAUCUUUUUAUUAUCGAUGAAA